rnacentral:misc_RNA from 1 species
CACAUACAUCUGCCAAGCUGUCUCACUCUUCUGACUUUAUAGACUCUCUCAUCUCGCCUCACUCUUCCUGGUCGCUGCUGAUCUGCUCGCGACGACUCAGACGAUUCACAACUCUGCCUCCCCCUCCGUCAGUCCACGGCCUCGUCUGUUGGCGUGCGAGUGGUGCUCAGUUGAGUUGAGUGACCUCAAUCAAAUGUGAAUCUGGGCCUCUCUCCUCUCUACGAGACUGCCAUUGUGACUUUUGCUAUCUCCUUCUCCGGUGCUCCAUGUCAAAGGUUCAAUACCAUGUUGAAGGUUAGUGAGACUUGUGAAAUUGCUACUGAUGUUCUUGAGCAUUUUGGACUACUAGGAUUGAGAGAAAGUGAGGUAUAGGAAAGUGGGCUCAUUUCGAGAGUGUUAAUGAGCUAAGUACCGCUACAUAAAUUUGAAGGUGAAGCAUGAGUGAUUUGAAGUUCCCAAAACGUUACUUGAUUGUUAUUUUAACCUUUAUCAGCACUUGUGUUUGCUAUAUUGAACGGGUGGGUUUCUCUAUUGCGUAUACUGUUGCGGCUGAUGAUGCUGGUGUAAACCAAUCAAGUAAAGGCACUAUACUUUCGACAUUCUAUUAUGGUUAUGCCUGCUCCCAGGUGCCUGGAGGAUGGGCAGC